rnacentral:lncRNA from 1 species
GACUUACAAGGGUGUGAAAAUGGGCUCGACAUUGAAUCGAGAAAAAUAUGAUUUUUAUAGUUUUAAAAUGGUUUUGAAUGAAUGAUGAAAUUAAAAGAAAGCAGAUCAUCCAUGAGUAUAAUAAAAACAUAAACAUAAAAUAAAAAUGCUAAAAGAAAAUAAAAUGCUAAAAGAAAAAAAAGUUAAAAGAAAUAAAAUGCUCAAUAUGGGUAUCGAACCCACUACACUAAAGACCAUAAAAAUCA